UCCUGGCUCAGGAUGAACGCUGGCGGCGUGCUUAACACAUGCAAGUCGAACGAGGCUUGCCAUCGGAAGUUUCGGAUGGAAGAAGGCAAGACCGAGUGGCGGACGGGUGAGUAACGCGUGGGGAACCUGCCCCAUUCCGGGGGAUACCAGUUGGAAACGACUGUUAAUACCGCAUAAGCGCACGGCAUCGCAUGAUGCAGUGUGAAAAACCACGGUGGAAUGGGAUGGCCCCGCGUCUGAUUAGCCAGUUGGCAGGGUAACGGCCUACCAAAGCGACGAUCAGUAGCCGGCCUGAGAGGGCGACCGGCCACAUUGGGACUGAGACACGGCCCAAACUCCUACGGGAGGCAGCAGUGGGGAAUAUUGCACAAUGGGGGAAACCCUGAUGCAGCCGACGCCGCGUGAGUGAAGAAGUAUUUCGGUAUGUAAAGCUCUAUCAGCAGGGAAGAAGAUGGGACGGUACCUGCACAAGAAGCCCCGGCUAACUACGUGCCAGCAGCCGC
rnacentral:rRNA from 1 species